GAUGAACGCUGGCGGCGUGCCUAAUACAUGCAAGUCGAGCGAACAGACGAGGAGCUUGCUCCUCUGACGUUAGCGGCGGACGGGUGAGUAACACGUUGAUAACCUACCUAUAAGACUGGGAUAACUUCGGGAAACCGGAGCUAAUACCGGAUAAUAUAUUGAACCGCAUGGUUCAAUAGUUAAAGACGGUUUUGCUGUCACUUAUAGAUGGAUCCGCGCCGGAUUAGCUAGUUGGUAAGGUAACGGCCUACCAAGCAAACCAUGCGUACCCGACCAGAGAGGGUGAAAGGCAACACUGGAACUAAGACACGGUACAGACUACUACGGAAGGCAGCAGUAGGGAACCUACCGUAUUGGGAGAAAGCUUGACGAAGCAACGCCGCGUGAGGGAUGAAGGUCUUGGGAUCGUAAAACUCUGUUAUUAGGGAAGAACAAAUGUGUAAGUAGCUGUGCAGGUCUUGACGGUACCUAAUAAGAAGGCCUCGGCUAACUACGUG
rnacentral:rRNA from 1 species